GGGCUGGCUAUAGCUCAGCGGUUCCUUCGAACUACCAGCUACAUUUAAGCUACUAAGUCAGCACGUCAGUGUUGGUUCGAGUCCCGCGGGCGCUCCCCAGCCUUUUU
rnacentral:vault_RNA from 14 species